rnacentral:lncRNA from 1 species
ACCUUUAGAUUUGUUUCCAGUCCAAGCCCAUUGUAUCAACAUAGUCAUAUUUUGCAUUCAUUUUAGAAUGAAAAGGACUGCCAUGAAUGCAUUGCCAUAAAUUAAUGUGGUACCAUUUCUAAUACACUACUAUAAAAACUAUGCUAAAAAGGAAUAACUUUACUAAGGAUGUAAAGCUUCCUGAAUGAAUCAGUAACAAAACAGCAGCAGGAGCUCAAGAAAAAACUAUUUUUAUUUCUCUAGCCUACAAGUUUUUGCUUCAAGUCAUUGUUAAUGGAACUUCCAUAACAGAACCUGAGAGAGAAAAAACUUCCUCCUCAGCAACAAACUCAUUGUAGUUUCAAAAGAAGAUUUUGAAGAGGGUAGAUUGCACGUAAACUUACACCCUACCUCGAGGAGAUAGAAAAAGAUUUUUUAUGAAAGAUCCUCGGCUCGAGUAAUAAACAACAUAGCAGCAGAAAAAGACGUUCCUCAUUCGGACUAAAACCUCAUGAUGACCUUCCUCAUUCGGACUAAAACCUCAUGUAAUCAUUUAGUUAUUUACUUCAUCAAGCUUUUACUAAUUUUGCAAGAAACAAAAUGUUAAUACAAAUAUGGACUAGACUAUUACCCAUCACAAUAAUACACCAAUUUCAUUCUACUUCUCUUGAAUUGUCUAGUUGGAACCACGGAUUAAGGCAAUGCAAUGACUUCGGUCUAAAGUUUUGUAACUCCGUACUACAAGGUUGCAUUAAAAACAUAAAAUUGAGCAUUUUCAAACCAACACACAUCUACCACACAAGUGUAAAGACUCAAGACAGUACAAAGCAAGGUCUAAAGCGAACACUUCAAUUUUCACUUUCAACCGAAAAGUGCCACUUUUGCUCUUCUAUCACAAUUAUUUUUGAACUAAAUGUUGUGUUUUAUUUUAAAAUACAAUUCACACACCACUAUGACCAUUCACCUCCUCUAUAUGAUCAUUAUAAGUACAAAAUCUACACAUGCUUACCAGUACAAAAUCAACAAGAUUUAAACAAAAGACCUACUUAGAAUUAUUUGAAAUAGAAAAUCAUAAAUAAACACCAGCCCUAAUGAAUUAUCUUCAAUGUUGGAUAUGCUUGAAAAAUGAACAGAUCCACAAUCCAAUUUCACAAACCCUAAAUACAAAGUAAAUCAAUAGAAUUUGAAAUUGCUCAAAAAUAGUCAAACAAAUGCACCUCAAACCCAAAAAGCUAAGCAAAAUGGAGAAUAACACUAAAAAUUUUGGACUGCUGAUUUUGAUAAGCGAAGAAAUGGAUUUUCAUCUGCAAUACUCCCAGAUACUAAAACUACAGCUAUUUUCGUAUGGACGAUAUCAAUAUUGGUGUCAGCCUUGGCAUUGGUUUUGGUAUUUGGGGUUGAUAACGUUCGGAUGCUUGGUUGGAUGUUUAGAUGGUUAUGGUUAUGAGCUUUAUUAAAUGUCUUUCAAUUAUAA